UGUAGUGCGCGGGGAGGUGGGGGUGGCGCCCCGGGGCGCCCCCCGGUGGUGGGGCGGGAUUGGGGCCGGGAAAGCCCCGAGCCCAGGGACGGCACCGACCCCCGGGGAGAAUCGAACCCCUGAGGGGGCUGAGCGUGGACGCGGGAGCGCGGCCAGAGGGUUAUUUUAGUGCUGGCAUCGCUCAUCGCUCCACGGCCCUCCCCACCCACGGGACAACGCCGUGCAGGAAGUGCCCGGGAAUAGCACUGCGGCCCGAGGAGGAGGAGGAGGGGGAGGAAGGCCCAGCGAGCGCAUGGAAAACCUACCUCGGAGCAGGUGACACCAAUGGCACCUGGCUGCUGGGACAUCGGGGCACGGGCUCCCCGUCCUCCCCGGGGAGAAACCCCCCCUGGAAGCAGCCGUGUCCAAGGAAUCGGCCGAAUUCCCAUGUGGAGCGCUUCCUCUGCCAAUUAACUUCUCUCUCAGGGGAGGAAAUGAUACGAGUUUCUUUUAAUAGGACUUUGAUCUCUUGGGCUCCACACAGAAGUGCUCCUGGCGCUGGGAUCUCCAGCGGUGUGGGAAAGGGCACACCGCAUUUAUCGGGCAAACACCUUUUUUACCUCUGCCAGCCCACACGGGGUGAGCAACGUUAAUAAUAAACUGUAGGCUUGGUCUCUGUAGCUGGUUUGGGGAGGCAAAUCACUUUUUAAAUUCCUGUUUAUACUGAUUUAAUAUCUACUGCAGGCAGGCUUGUCCUGAGGUGAUUUAGUAGUUUAUUUCCAGGCAUUUGCAGGAAUAAGUCACAGGAUAUCAAUACCUUCUUAUUCAUCUAACCAGCCUCCAUGGGAAGCUGGAGCACUGGAAUUAUGCAGCUCCUGGUCAGGUAGGGCUUUUCCUCAGUCAGUGCAGGUGUUUCAGUGAGUAUUUCCACACACUGUCAGUCAUGAACCUGCUGGAAAAUCCACUCACUUAUUGAGGAAUCACACUGAAAACACCACCAGCCUGCACUUUGUCCAAAGGGACUUGGAUGCCACAGGCUCCAAUCCCUCCUAGCUGAUGUUUACAACCUGGUGCUGACGCUGUUUCAUCUUCCAGGGCACACGCCCUGCCAAGUGAUGGGGAAACACUGAGGACACUCCAGCAUUUAUUCCCACCUUUGCUAACCUGGGUUGGUUUGCCCUCCUCAGCUUCUGUCCCUCACCCUGCUCCACCCCAGGUGACACCAGGCUUAUCUCCAGGGUUUUGGAGAGGAAAAAAACUAAAGUAUCUCCAAAAUGAGAAGUCCAAGUAGCCAUUGCUAUGAAAACUGGAGAAGGAAAUAAUUAAGGAGACUCUGAACUCCUGGUAACAAAGUUUCACCUGGCCUCCUGGCAUUAGUGACAGUGCAGUGCGCUCUCAAAAGUGUAAAUUAAAUGUAUUUAAUUCUGUUACCACCAGAACCAGUUCCCUGUUUUUCCUGAGUGAACAACUCAGAUGAAAGGAGAAUUCUUCCCUUUCCACCUUCCAAAACAACACAAAGAGGAAAAAAUGAUCCUGAAAAUGAGGAGCAGAGGCAGGGGAGAAGGAGUCCCUCAGGCAGCAACAGCCUCAGCACACGUGAUGGCCCUGUCACACCACGGUGCCACAUUUGCUUGAGUGGCCAGGUGGACAUAGGAGCAGGAUGUGCUCCCAACACAUUCCCGACGUGCCAAGCUCCAUCCUGGCUCUUCCCACAAGGCCAGUGCUGACCCCAGAGGCCGAGGAUGCAGAGCCUCAUGCAGAGAGUGGGUGAUUCCAGCUGUGCUCCACUUUGGGAAGCUCACGGAAGCCUUUGGGAGCGUCUGUUUGUGUUCCCUGCAUAUCCUACGUGCUACAACUCCAGGGCAUUUGGGACCUGUUCUUCUUGAUCCUGGGAGCCUUCCCGUGGGGGCAGGGACCUGCCUCCACAGUCUGUGCAAAUACAGUAAAAUAGCAAUAUAAAUCAAGGUAUAAAUUAAGGCAGCAGUUUUCCCCAAAAGACAAGUUUUUUAUUGAAUUGUUAUUUAUCUUAGGAAGACAAAUGCCAAGACGGUAACAACAGGGAGUAUGGAUUCUGGAUUUCUAGUUGCGGUGAAAGUUUGUGAUUCCCUUUGGGGAUGAAGGUGCCCCACAGAGUCAGUGUGAUUUGGGGGAUGGCAGGGUACGAGGAGCUGAGCCCCAGCUCCUGAAUGUUCCCUUCUCAGGGCCAAAGGUCAGGCUCUCACUUGGGGCAGUCACAUCCCCGCGCUGCCCACUGCGAAUCCAAGUCCCGUGACAACCCUUCCUUGGCAGUUGGAAUGAUAAAUCCGGGCAAGAAGUGCCGGAGGCGCUGCCACGCUUCCCUUCCCUUGCCAGGGCCUCUGCUCGCCCCCACGGAC